GUCAGAUAGCAAAUACACCCCCUUCCUCUUGUAACCCGGUCAGGCCUAGGGUUCCUCCCUGAGUUCCAGAAUAGGCCACCCAGUUGGGGCGGACCCUUAAGGCAUUCUGGGCCCACGCCUGCCUAUAAACCCUCAUAGUGUGACCUUUGACCCCUGGUGUGAUCUUGGGCCCGGGCUGGGACCAGCCCCUAGUGUGGGUUGUGGGGGCGGCCAUGGAGCUGGGCAGCUGCUUCAAGACCUAUGAGGACUUCAAGGAGUGCUUCAGCGCCUACAAAAGGGAGAACAGGUGCUCCUUCAUUCUCAGGGACUGCGUCUCCGUCCGCUUCCACAACCUCAACCAUGGCACCUCCAUCCGCGAAGACAUCCUGACACAAAAAACAAGGUGAUGAAAACAAGGCUGGAGAGACAAGCGGAGACCACAAGUGGUCACCCCUCACUGGCCUCGCUGUACUACUGGACUGCUCCAGCCCUUCCUGGCCCAGAGCUAGAGAUGGCACCACCCCCGCACUGUGCACACAAUAGGUAUGUGCAGGUGAAAUUUGUCUGCAUUCGGACCCAAUCAAACAGGAAGAGAACGCGGGAGGCAGACAUGUGCCCAGCGUACUUGCUCCUAAGGUACAACGAGAGACUAGAUAGACUAUUUAUCAGUGAACUAAACACACAGCACAUACAUGGUGACUCUAAAGUGGCUAGUCCUGGAGGAGACACCACUGGCAAAUCUCAAAAGACAAUGUGCCUGCAGAGACUCCAGCCUGUGCAGCCCACAACCAAAAAAGACCUUGACACUGCCGAGAAGUCCCUGGUUGAGCCAUCGUUUUGCCUAGAUAAGGUACAAGUGUCCUCAAAGCCAGAGCAGGAAGGCAUCACUCCUUCUGACCUGGCCAAGAUAGCAAAAGUGAUGAAGAACUUUCUUAAGGUAGAUGAGGGUUCCAUGGCUUCCUUCAGUGUGGGUGACAGCCAGCACCUGGACCGGCUCAGCUUCCAGAGCAGUAAGAUGACCGACCUGUUCAUCCGCUUCCCAGAGAAUCUCUUGCUACACCGGGUGGAGAACACCCAGGGCCACAUCCUCUAUGCUUUCUUGGUGGAGAACAAGGAACGAGAAAGUCGAGUGGUGCACUUUGCUGUGCUCAAGGCGGAGACAGUCACCUCUGUGGCCAAGAUGCUGAGCAUCUUCACAGAGUUCAACUCCGAUUGGCCCAAGGUCAAGGUGGUCUUUGUGGACCCUUCAUUCCAUUACCGGGCUAUCCUGCAGGAGAUCUUUCCUGCUGCCCGCAUCCUCCUUUCCAUCUACCACACAACCCGACUCUUGGAGAAGAAGUUGCAUCGUAGUUCAGCAAAUCCAUCCUUUAAAAGGCUCAUGAAGGAAGCCCUGCGGGAGGCCGUGUUUGUCACUUCUGAAGCCAGCCUGAAAAAUCUCUGCCAGAUGUCCCAGGCCGUACUGGAUGAGGAUCUCUUCAACUUCCUGCAGGCCCACUGGUUCACCUGUGAACUGCUGUGGUACAUGCAUGUUAGGAAGGGCCUGCUUGCGUGUAACACCUACAUGGACAGCCUAGACAUUGUCACCAGCAAGGUGUCAAGCCUCUUUCGGGAACAGCAGUCGCUGCUGGACUGCAUCCUCUGCUUUGUGGAUUACAUAGACUUCUUUAAUACCAAAGGCUUGAAGAACUUGCCCACACCUCCUCCCAAAUUAAAGAGAGCUCGGCCGGCAAGCAUGCCACUGAAGUCCAAGAAGGCUUUUGGAAUCUGUGGAGAGAGCCUUACCAGCCUCCCUGCAGAAGAGACCAAGCCAGACGCACAGCAGGUACAGGUACAGCAGCAGUCACAAGUGCCGCCCUCGCAGGUUGGCAUGCUGGACACCUUGCACCAGAGUGGCUCUGAACUAGCCUACAAGCUGUGCCACAAUGAGUGGGAGGUGGUACAGAACUCCACCCACCUGGUGGACAUGGCUGGCUCUUCAGUGGACGUUCAGCUGCUAGAGGACUCUCACCAGGUUAGCAAAGAUGGCUGUAGCUGCAGCUGUUCCUUUCAACAAUGGUACCACCUGCCAUGCCGACACAUUUUGGCUCUGCUGCACACCAGCCAGCAGCCGGUUGGUGAAGCCAUGGUGUGCCGCCGGUGGCAGAAGAAGUACCAGUACCUCCUUGGGCCCAAUGGGGAGCUCCAGGAUCGUGGUAUGGUCCCAAACACAGGCCAGCCUGAGAAGCAAGGACGGAACGACAUGAUUCAGGACCUAAGCAGGGAGUUAGCAAACCUGCUCAUGCAGACCGAGGGGCCAGAGCUGGAGGAACGCUACUCCACCCUGCGCAAGAUUGUGGAUAUCUGGGCUGGCCCCUCCCAGCCAUCUGAGCUCUUUCAGCAGCCAGGAGACUUUAAGGACGUGGGCCGCCUCCCUUUCCUCUGGGGAAAGCAAGAAGAAGGGGAGGGAUUCCCUCCUGCUACAGCUGUGAUGCAUUAUUGAAGCACUUUAGCUGAAGCAUUGGACCACAAACACUUCUCCUUGGAAGUGUGAGAGUUUAAAGUGGGCAGGACAUACUAGGGUUUAGCAUUUUAGCCAAUGUCUUCCUAGGUGGGGCUAGGAAUAUUGUUACAGUAGAGAGGAAGGGAACUCCACUGUGUGACAGUCCUUUCAAUCUGCCCCUUUUCAGCCCUACUUUUGGCAUUCCUUGGGAGCCUCAGUUGUUGUUCAAGGCCAAAGUUAUCUCCGUGCUGCAAGGUCACCCUCUUCCUCCCCCAGCCCCUGAGAUCAGAUCUUAUUUGCUCUGCAAAGAUGAAUCCCUGCCUCAGGUUAGGGUGAGACAAAAUCGGUCUGGUAAAAGGGCCUGUUUUCAGGGACAAAGGGAAUGAGGAUGAUCUUUGGCUGUUGCUGCUCUUUAUGAAGAAUCUUAUUUGUAACUUUUUAUUCAUAUUAAAGUUGUUUUUAAUAAAAUUAAA